CAUAAUAUUCCUAGUUUUUAUGUGAAAAUCAACUAUGGCACACAAGAAUCUCAAAAAGGAUUUUACGUGAAGUAUUUACUUCAACCCCAAUAGGAGUUAUAUCUACUUUAAAUCCAAACCUAGAUAAUAGUACCUUCCGAAAUAAAAACUAUGGUAAUUCAACCAGUGAUUUUGACAAGGCAAUUAAGCUAUAAAACUGAAGACAAUUCACAAUCACAAAGGGGGAAUUCCGCAGAGGAAAAAAUAAAACACUAUGUUUUGAUGGAGUUCAUCAUCGUUCAUGACAAAAAGUAGAGCCUAGUAAUAUGGUGAGGCCUCACGGGGAUCCCUACAACAAGAAAAAUGAACUAACGAAUGAGCAGUAACAACACUAAUUGGACACAAACAGGGGCGGCGCCACCGUAUGGGCUGGUAUGGGCGGCCGCCCCGGGUAGCCGGAAUGUGUGUCCUUAAAACCCCCGCCAGUCUUGCCUCCUAGCAUACAGUGUUACAGGCCUGCACAAUGAACCGACUCGGGUGACUUGAAAUCCUAGAUCCGCCAUUGGAAACAAAUAACUUUCUUUUGGAACUGAAUAUUGGUAUCUACAUGAGAUCAAAGAAACAGUAAAAGAACUUGCCAAGAAAAUUAACAUCUACCAAAGUCCCAAAAUGCAAGUUGAAGAAAAAUUGCAAGUGGCUUGAUGCCAAGGUUGUAUCCAUGCUGGCGUUAGGAACACUAACGGGUAUAUGCACUGCAACACAAGAGUAUAAAUCACCAAUACUAAGAGAAAGCAUGCUAUGAGCAAUUUCCACAAAGUAGUACUGAAAGAAAAGAAACAAUAUGGAGAAAGAUUUGACCUUUUCGUAACAGCUGCCAACACCAUCCUGCUGCCACGCUGCCGCCUACCACCCCGCCAUCCGCAUCGUGAUGCUACUGCCUCUCCUCUGCACACCAUGCAACCAACUCGCUUGAAUCAACACAGGAACACAAAACCCCAAGUGAAAUCAAUAACACAAUCUUAACUAUAAAAAGCUCGUCAUAUUCAGGCUUGAGCUCACCUCGUGAACAGACACAUCACUGCAAAUCUACAAUUUAUCAGCUCCUUCUUAUGCAUUCAGACAACUAGUGGGCAAUAAAAAACUGUUUACCAAUGAACAUGUGUUGACGUGUUGUAGAAAUUAGAGUCUGAGGGCUGAAACACAGAAUCAGACUCUGCCUCAGAGGCUUUUUCUACCAGGUUAUCACUUGAGACAUGCCCUUUCACACCCUGAAAAUUUAAUCACACCGUAAAUUUGAAAAGACCAACAGUAUGGUACCUAAUGCGUAAUCUCCUUGCACUUGCAGUACCAAGCUGCAACUUGCUUUUUUGGAAAACCAUAACAAAAAUAAGAUUCGUUUAACCUUCUCUGAACUUUUUCUAUGUUGUCUAAAUGAUUUAACCAGGAAGAGCUCUAGCAACUAAGUAACUUAUCCUAUUCAAAUCCACUGUAUCAAAGAAUUGGACCAAACACGCAGGAAAGGAAGAAAUUGAUAGUCACGACAAUGGACAGAAAAUAAAAUUUCUGAAUCUUGUGAGGCACCUGAAGGUCAGCUGCACCAGGAAAUUAAAUGGAUAGGGUCUAGAGGUUGGCAUGACUAGUACGCUCCGGUAGCCGGCAGGGAGGCGGUGAUCGAUUCCAGCGGCUUCUGGGCUCUUGAUAUCCAGAAAUUUUACAAGGAAAUAUCCAGAACGUUUUGCAACUAUGGAUGUGCACUCAGUUAAUCCUGACCUAGCUAAAAUGAGGCCUAACAAAAUUGUGUGAACUUGAGAGAUUGGGAAGGGAUCAGAAAUCAAACAUUAC
rnacentral:lncRNA from 1 species